CCGCAGUGGAGCUGGAAUGUUAGAUGGGGGCCCCUGCGGUGGGCAGAAUAACGGCCACUGCAAAGAUGCCAAAUCUUAUCCCCAGAGCUUCCGCAGAGAUCCUGCAGAUGUGAUUCGAGUCUUCCAGCAACACCACCUCACUCUGCUUUGCACAAUCACUCCACCUCCCCACAUGUUGCGGAGAUUCUCCUGGGUCAGUCGGGGGGUCCAGUGUCAUCCUAGGGUCCUUAUGAGAGGGAGGAAGGGAGGCGGAGGAGGAGAUGCAAGGAUGAAGCGAAGGUUGGAGUGAUGUGGUCUGCUGCGGGGACCCUGAGGCGUGCAGGCGGCCUCUGGAAGCUGAAAAGACAGGAAGGCAGCUUCUCCCCUGAGCCUCCAGAAGAACCCGGCCCUGCUGACACUGGCCCAGGAGCCCCUUCCCCCAUCAGGGCC
rnacentral:lncRNA from 10 species